AUACGGCUAUAUCAGGUUGAAACAACGGUUCUCGUCCGAUCUCCGAAGUUAAGCAACGUCAAUCUUGGUCAAUAUCUAGAUGGGUCACCGCUUGGGAAUACCGGGUGCUGUUA